GUUUAACAACCAGUUCUGAAGGAGUGACCUGUCCUGAUCAGAGGAAACAAAAUCUGGAGACAAUGCCCUGCUGCUAUGUAAGGUAUCAAAUUCCAAUUCUGACGAAACUGACUUUGGAGAGAUUGGUCUGGUCUCAUCAAAAAGGUAGCUGAGACACAAAUCAUUCUCUUCCCAAUCAGAGACAAUCGAUUCUGGUGUGCAUGACCUGCAGUUGAAAUAUUGGUGAUCCUCAAUUUUGGCUAUGUCAACAUGAGGAACAGGGGAGUCUGGAGAAAGAACCCUGAAUUCACAUUGUGACACCACAGACUCUAGGGAGGAUGCUCUGAAGUCGAACAACCAUUCCCGAAGGAGUGAUGUGUCUUGAUCAGAAGAAACAGAAUCUGGAGACAAUGCCCUGCUGCUAUGCGAGGACAAAAUAAUCCCUUCUCAACUGAUACCACAGACUCUGGGGAAGAUACUCUGAGGUCUAACAACCAGUUCUGAAGGAGUGACCUGUCCUGAUCAGAGGAAACAAAAUCUGGAGACAAUGCCCUGCUGCUAUGUAAGAGACAAUCGAUUCUGGUGUGCAUGACCUGCAGUUGAAAUAUUGGUUAUCCUCAAUUUUGGCUAUGUCAACAUGAGGAACAGGGGAGUCUGGAGAAAGAACCCUGAAUUCACAUUGUGACACCACAGACUCUGGGGAGGAUGCUCUGAAGUCGAACAACCAUUCCUGAAGGAGUGAUGUGUCCUGAUCAGAGGAAGCAGAAUCUGGAGACAAUGCCCUGCUGCUAUGCGAGGACAAAAUAAGCCCUUCUCAAAUGAUACCACAGACUCUGGGGAAGAUACUCUGAGGUCUAACAACCAGUUCUGAAGGAGUGACCUGUCCUGAUCAGAGGAAACUAAAUCUGGAGACAAUGCCCUGCUGCUAUUUAAGAGACAAUCGAUUCUGGUGUGCAUGACCUGCAGUUGAAAUAUUGGUUAUCCUCAAUUUUGGCUAUGUCAACAUGAGGAACAUGGGAGUCUGGAGAAAGAACCCUGAAUUCACAUUGUGACACCACAGACUCUGGGGAGGAUGCUCUAAAGUCGAACAACCAUUCCCGAAGGAGUGAUGUGUCUUGAUCAGAAGAAACAGAAUCUGGAGACAAUGCCCUGCUGCUAUGCGAGGACAAAAUAAGCCCUUCUCAACUGAUACCACAUACUCUGGGGAAGAUACUCUGAGGUCUAACAACCAGUUCUGAAGGAGUGACCUGUCCUGAUCAGAGGAAACUAAAUCUGGAGACAAUGCCCUGCUGCUAUGUAAGAGACAAUCGAUUCUGGUGUGCAUGACCUGCAGUUGAAAUAUUGGUGAUCCUCAAUUUUGGCUAUGUCAACAUGAGGAACAGGGGAGUCUGGAGAAAGAACCCUGAAUUCACAUUGUGACACCACAGACUCUGGGGAGGAUGCUCUGAAGUCGAACAACCAUUCCUGAAGGAGUGAUGUGUCCUGAUCAGAGGAAACAGAAUCUGGAGACAAUGCCCUGCUGCUAUGUGAGGACAAAAUAAGCCCUUCUCAACUGUUACCACAGACUCUGGGGAAGAUACUCUGAGGUUUAACAACCAGUUCUGAAGGAGUGACCUGUCCUGAUCAGAGGAAACAAAAUCUGGAGACAAUGCCCUGCUGCUAUUUAAGAGACAAUCGAUUCUGGUGUGCAUGACCUGCAGUUGAAAUAUUGGUUAUCCUCAAUUUUGGCUAUGUCAACAUGAGGAACAGGGGAGUCUGGAGAAAGAACCCUGAAUUCACAUUGUGACACCACAGACUCUGGGGAGGAUGCUCUGAAGUCGAACAACCAUUCCCGAAGGAGUGAUGUGUCUUGAUCAGAAGAAACAGAAUCUGGAGACAAUGCCCUGCUGCUAUGCGAGGUAUCAAGUUCCAAUUCUGACAAAACUGAUUGUGGAGAGAUUGGUCUGGCCUCAUCAAAAAGGACAAAAUAAGCCCUUCUCAACUGAUACCACAGACUCUGGGGAAGAUACUCUGAGGUCUAACAACCAGUUCUGAAGGAGUGACCUGUCCUGAUGAGAGGAAACAAAAUCUGGAGACAAUGCCCUGCUGCUAUGUAAGAGACAAUCGAUUCUGGUGUGCAUGACCUGCAGUUGAAAUAUUGGUUAUCCUCAAUUUUGGCUAUGUCAACAUGAGGAACAGGGGAGUCUGGAGAAAGAACCCUGAAUUCACAUUGUGACACCGCAGACUCUGGGGAGGAUGCUCUGAAGUUGAACAACCAUUCCCGAAGGAGUGAUGUGUCUUGAUCAGAAGAAACAGAAUCUGGAGACAAUGCCCUGCUGCUAUGCGAGGACAGAAUAAGGCCUUCUCAGCUGAUACCACAGACUCCGGGGAGGAUGCCCUGAUGUCUAGCACACAGUCCCAAAGGACUGAUGUGUCCAAAUUUGAGGAAAUAGAAUCUGGAUACAAUAGCCUACUGCUAAAGAAGCUCCUCCAACAGGUCACCAUGCAUGCUCUCUGAGUGAGUAUGUCCAGCAGGCUCCGCCCAUGAAGGAAUGUCUAACAGAGAAGCGACGGAGAGGUCCUCCUCAGAAACAGCCGGGGGUGGCUUGCGAUCGGACUCUAUCCUUCUCACAAUUCUGGGGCUGUCAACAUCCUCUUGCACUGAAGACAGAGCCACUGAGACUAAAAAAAUUGCACAGUCGUGAGGAGGAAUGGGGAUCGUCAUGGUGAUCGGUUUAUGGAACUUCCGCCUUCUUGGUUCCAGUGUGACAAUCGGGCUGAAUGUCGCCUUGUUGCCAAGGAUCUUUCUCACCACGUCAACUUCAAUAGGCUGAGCCUUAGACAUUGUCCAAAAAAUGUAAACAUGUCAGCAUUUGGACCAUAGGGUCUAAACCAAAUAGUUCAGUAAUGUGCAGACCUGUAGCCCAACACGGAUUUUCUUAGUGAGGGCUCCCUCGGGGAAGACAGCCUGGACCUGAGGAACAAGUGUGCUACUAAGGACGCCGCCCUCUGGGCCAAUCAGAUGACUGUCCUGCUUUAUGCGAGACACCACAGCAAAAUACUGCGGAAAGUCUCGCGUGAUGAUUCGGCAGAUCCUUUUUUUCUCAAGCUCCUCGGGGGAAUCCAGUUCUGUAAAUGAAAUUAUAUAAAAUGUGAAUAAUUGAUGUACUCUUGUUGUAGUCGUAACCACAAAAAGCGAGCUGAAGUCCAAACUGUAGCUCCGUGAGACCAAGUCGAAAACAAGAUCGGUCAACACUGACAAGGACGGCAACACUGAUGUACAGUGGAAGCUCGAGAUUUCAAUACUCCAAAGGUUGUAUUCUGACGAAUCCAAGCUUUGAAGUUCGAUAAAAUAUCAGACUUGGUCAGCAAAGGAAUGAGUUUUCUUAAAGAAGCCAUAUGUGAUAAUGUGGCCAAAAACUGUACUGCAGUCACGGUCAAAAUUCUGUAGUCCCCUCCCUCUCUCUCUGACUGAGGUUGCCAGAUACGCAGCCGAAUCCAGCUCGAUAGACUGGGCUACUCCAAGGAACUUCCAACUUCCACUGCCUCUUACUAGGGGUUGAGGUGCUGGGACCUUAAUAGCUGAAUAGACAAGUGUUUUGUCAAUAACAAAUCUCUAACCAACACAUUUUACACAGAAAUUAGGCUAUUUUCAGGAAUAAGUACGCCAUGCCUGCGUACAAUAUCACAACAAAUGGGAAUCAUAUGGUUAUUGUCAGUACUAUCAGAAAACAAAGACUAAAACAAACUACAACCAACACUAGCAAUGGUUAUACUGGUGAAAAGAAGUAGAGCAUGCUUAGCAGCCUAAUGUACCCCCAAAACUAAAGAGGAGACAUUUUACCAAGUUAUGCCUAUAGGCUACAUUAAUGAGGAAUUAUUUUAUCAUGUGAUUUGGCUGUCUCCACAUGUUUCACAUUACCAUGAUGACAGCCGUGCUAAUGUCAGAACCCUUUUCCUCAGCGUAUCAGCAUGUUGAGAAGGAAAUAGGCACUGACACUACACAUAUCCACAUAUGUGGAAAUAUAUUUAGCCCUGUCAGUUUGAAUACACAUCGACAUACUGGCUAACAGGCAUAUAUUUCCCCCGUUAGCCUAUAUGUUGAUGUGUCAUUGACCGGGCUAGCAUACUAAGCAUUACACUAGGAGUGAAGCACCAUCACACUAAGUUUUUGUUGCAGGAACAUACUAGCUUUGUUAGACAAGAUCAUAGACUGUAUUGGACAAUAUAGUUUACAUACUAAAUGUCCAUUUCCCUUCAUUACAAGUAAUAAGAAAACGUUAAUGCCUGACUUACAUAUCAAAGAACAAAUCCUCGUUUUGUUCCUGGCUUUGUCAUGAAUAAGUUGAGAAUCGUAACGAGGCCUUUUAGAUUUACUAAGGUCUGACAUGUUUAGUAACUUUACCAGUGGCAGUAGCCAGACGAAGAUGGCGGUGCUUAACUGGCAACCUGGAUGUGACACACUCACAGACUUUCUAAUUGGUCAAACGGUGGAGGGCGGGGCAUUGAAAUUAAAACAAUAACAAGGUUUUGGGGCUGGAAAUCUUAUUUUGAAAUGAGCAUAUCCCGGCAGAACUACUAUUAUCAGUUAUAGAGGUAUUGGAAAAGAACAUGAUUUAUUAAUGCUUUUUGACAUAUCAGGGCCAUUUAAUGAUGACUUGACAUGACAUUUCUACAUAUGGCUCCUUUAGCAUCCAAACAACCACCAGCUCCCCGGGAUCGCCAGUUUGAUCGUUACUGAACAUCAUUGAACAAAACACGAGUGAUGCAUUAAGAUCCCUUACUUUCAUCCAUGCCGUUAAGUAUCUGGUUGAGUUCCUCUUCAGUGAAAUCACAAUGGUGCUCCCUCCAGUUUUCUCCUGUUUCGCUCCUCAAGAUGACCAACUCUCUCUCGGUGCCCCGGAGAGCAGCGAAAUGUGGGAUCUCCACAAUCACAGGCCUACCAGAAACGACAUGUGGAAUUAAGGCAAGUAAUUGGCAUGAUUUAAUCAGUGGUUACAGUACAGUC